rnacentral:rRNA from 1 species
GCUCAGAACGAACGCUGGCGGCGUGCCUAACACAUGCAAGUCGAACGUGAUUAGAGAGCUUGCUCUCUAUGAAAGUGGCGCACGGGUGAGUAACGCGUAGAUAAUCUACCUGAUGAUUUGGGAUAACACUUCGAAAGGGGUGCUAAUACCGAAUAAGCCCACGGAGUCCUUGGACACUGCGGGAAAAGGGGGGGACCUUCGGGCCUUCCGUCAUCAGAUGAGUCUGCGUACCAUUAGCUAGUUGGUAGGGUAAAGGCCUACCAAGGCGACGAUGGUUAGCUGGUCUGAGAGGAUGAUCAGCCACACUGGAACUGAGACACGGUCCAGACUCCUACGGGAGGCAGCAGUGGGGAAUUUUGCGCAAUGGGGGAAACCCUGACGCAGCAACGCCGCGUGAGUGAUGAAGGCCCUUGGGUCGUAAAGCUCUGACAGAGGGAAAGAAAUGUGGGUGGCUAAUAUCCAUUCCACUUGACGGUACCCUCAAAGGAAGCACCGGCUAACUCCGUGCCAGCAGCCGCGGUAAUACGGAGGGUGCGAGCGUUGUUCGGAUUUAUUGGGCGUAAAGCGCGUGUAGGCGGUUUUAUAAGUCUGAUGUGAAAGCCCCGGGCUCAACCUGGGAAGUGCAUUGGAUACUGUAAGACUUGAAUACGGGAGAGGGCAGUGGAAUUCCUGGUGUAGGAGUGAAAUCCGUAGAUAUCAGGAGGAACACCGGUGGCGAAGGCGGCUGCCUGGACCGAUAUUGACGCUGAGACGCGAAAGCGUGGGUAGCAAACAGGAUUAGAUACCCUGGUAGUCCACGCCGUAAACGAUGAGUACUAGGUGUUGCGGGUAUUGACCCCUGCAGUGCCGCAGCUAACGCAUUAAGUACUCCGCCUGGGAAGUACGGUCGCAAGACUAAAACU